GGGUCUUUAGCUCAGCAGUAGAGCGGCAGACUUCGGUUCGCAUUCUGAAGAAACCAUCAAAGGGUUGCAUUCUGCAGGUCGCGGGUUCAAUCCCCGUAGGACUCU
rnacentral:tRNA from 1 species